rnacentral:tRNA from 1 species
GGAGAGUUACCCAAGAGGCUGAAGGGAGCUGCCUUGAAAGCAGUCAGGUCGGAAACGGCGCAUGGGUUCAAAUCCCAUACUCUCCU